CCUUGUGUGUAGUAAAUCUACUUUUUUUCCCACUAAAAUUAUAAUUUUUUCCCUCUCCUUUAAUGAAUGGUAUAUAUUUUUGGGGUAAUAAAUAGUUUUCUGUCUUAAAUAUUAUUAUAGUCUCACAUCACACAGUUUGAGUUCUUUUAACUGUAUAAUGAAGUAAUUUGUGAUACUGAAAUUAAGGUUGAUUUAUGAUAAAUCCCCCAAACUUUAAGAGGGACUGUGUGGAUAUUUCUGUAUUUUUGGUUCACAUUUGAAAAAAAGAACAGUAUGUAUUUUUCUUUUUUUAUACAACUAAUUUUUUUUCACAUUUUAUCUUUUCUCCUGUCAGUUCUUGAUCUUUUUUUAAUCAUGUCUAUUAAACUUUCUUUGGUUUCGCAACCGUGGAUUACAGAAGAAACAUGAUCUCAAUGUAAUCUUUUAGUCUCUUUUGCGAAUGAAAGUGAAUCGAGGCAUAAAGAGGAAAAGAUACGUGGUCCUGCCUCUUGCACAUGCGUGUGUGAAAAACUUUACAGCUCCCUGUGCCUCUGAAAUUACACUCAAAAAAAGGGGGCAUUUUUUUCUCUCCUCUUGUGCGCGCUCAUGAACACGCGUUCACGUUUGGCAGCUCCACGUCGACAUUCUUCCAGCUGCAUAUAGUGAACUGCACAGCACUGGGGGAAGAAAAGGUAAAACCCUAACACUUGAGGGCUGCAACUUCGCAUUCGGACACCAACCUCACUGAAAAUAGACUUUUGCACUUUGAGUCUAAAGCCGAGGUUUGCAUCGUCCUCUGUUCGUUUAUAGUUUUUUUUUCUUGCGUUUUGAUCCAGUCUUUGCCCUCGUGUUGGAUUGCAGCUGGUCCCUUGCGGCUACCUUCAUCAGGAUAAAGGAAUACGUAACCUAGCCCAGGAUGAGGUCCCCCCAGAAGGACAGACCUGUGAGGUGGCACUGUGGCUUUCCAAAUAAAGUUCUGUGAUACACUCAGACUCUCAGCUGCUUGCAGUCAGUGCAUUACAGAACUUUGUUUUGGGAGUUAAUGUUUUAACCAGUGGGAGACGAAUCUUUACAUCAGCACAAUUCAAUUCUCAUGAACAUACUUAAAUUGUAUGACAUUUUUGAUGCUGUCUAAAUAAAGUUUAUCUUAAAGAUG